UGGCUUAUCUGGAAGAGACGGGAUGAAGGGUAUGGGCGAAGUCGUUAAUGGCGCCAUAGCUGCAGGAACUGGAGCCCAAGCAGCCGAGGAGGCUCUGGCGGUACGGCAAGAAUGUCUUCCGUCGCAUCUCCUCCGCCUGCACUUGGUUCGUCGUAUAGUGCCGCUCGUGCGGCGACGGUGCCGGCACCCUUCGUCGCCCCACCCCAUCCGUCCUCCCUUCCUCUCCGAACCUCUUCGAAC
rnacentral:lncRNA from 1 species